CUACGGGUGGCACCAGUGGGGAAUAUUGCACAAUGGGCGGAAGCCUGAUGCAGCCAUGCCGCGUGAGUGAAGAAGGCCCUAGGGUUGUAAAGCUCUUUCAGUGGUGACGAUGAUGACGGUAGCCACAGAAGAAGCCCCGGCUAACUCCGUGCCAGCAGCCGCGGUAAUACGGAGGGGGCAAGCGUUGUUCGGAAUUACUGGGCGUAAAGGGCACGUAGGCGGCGAUGCGGGUCAGAUGUGAAAGCCCCGGGCUCAACCUGGGAACUGCAUUUGAAACUGCAUUGCUUGAGGACGGAAGAGGAGAACGGAAUUCCCAGUGUAGAGGUGAAAUUCGUAGAUAUUGGGAAGAACACCAGUGGCGAAGGCGGUUCUCUGGUCCGUAACUGACGCUGAGGUGCGAAAGCGUGGGGAGCAAACAGGAUUAGAUACCCCUGUAGUC
rnacentral:rRNA from 1 species